AUUUAGCUGACGAGUCCCAACUGGGACGAAACUCGUAUCCUGGAU
rfam:Schistosoma haematobium scaffold1975_11, whole genome shotgun sequence.